rnacentral:misc_RNA from 1 species
GAAAUGCGAUAAGUAAUGUGAAUUGCAGAAUUCAGUGAAUCAUCGAAUCUUUGAACGCACAUUGCGCCCGCCAGUAUUCUGGCGGGCAUGCCUGUCCGAGCGUCAUUUCAACCAUCAAGCCCCCGGGCUUGUGUUGGGGACCUGCGGCUGCCCGCAGGCCCUGAAAACCAGUGGCGGGCUCGCUGUCACACCGAGCGUAGUAGCAAUCAUCUCGCUCAGGGCGUGCUGCGGGUUCCGGCCGUUAAACAGCCUUACAAAACCCAAGGUUGACCUCGGAUCAGGUAGGAAGACCCGCUGAACUUAAGC